rnacentral:rRNA from 1 species
GACGAACGCUGGCGGCGUGCUUAACACAUGCAAGUCGAACGAUGAAGCCGGAGCUUGCUCUGGUGGAUUAGUGGCGAACGGGUGAGUAACACGUGAGUAACCUGCCCUUGACUCUGGGAUAACUGCUAGAAAUGGUAGCUAAUACCGGAUACGACCCUCGGAGGCAUCUCCAGGGGGUGGAAAGAAUUUCGGUCAAGGAUGGACUCGCGGCCUAUCAGCUAGUUGGUGAGGUAACGGCUCACCAAGGCGACGACGGGUAGCCGGCCUGAGAGGGUGACCGGCCACACGGGGACUGAGACACGGCCAAGACUCCUACGGGAGGCAGAAGUGGGGAAUAUUGCACAAUGGGCGCAAGCCUGAUGCAGCAACGCCGCGUGAGGGAUGACGGCCUUCGGGUUGUAAACCUCUUUUAGUAGGGAAGAAGCGAAAGUGACGGUACCUGCAGAAAAAGCACCGGCUAACUACGUGCCAGCCGCCGCCGUAA